AGUAGGGAAUAUUGGACAAUGGGCGAAAGCCUGAUCCAGCAAUGCCGCGUGAGUGAUGAAGGCCUUAGGGUUGUAAAGCUCUUUUACCCGAGAUGAUAAUGACAGUAUCGGGAGAAUAAGCUCCGGCUAACUCCGUGCCAGCAGCCGCGGUAAUACGGAGGGAGCUAGCGUUGUUCGGAAUUACUGGGCGUAAAGCGCACGUAGGCGGCGAUUUAAGUCAGAGGUGAAAGCCCGGGGCUCAACCCCGGAACUGCCUUUGAGACUGGAUUGCUAGAAUCUUGGAGAGGCGAGUGGAAUUCCGAGUGUAGAGGUGAAAUUCGUAGAUAUUCGGAAGAACACCAGUGGCGAAGGCGGCUCGCUGGACAAGUAUUGACGCUGAGGUGCGAAAGCGUGGGGAGCAAA
rnacentral:rRNA from 1 species